GACGAACGCUGGCGGCGUGCUUAACACAUGCAAGUCGAACGAAAAGAGGGAAAGAGCUUGCUCUUUCCGGAAUUGAGUGGCAAACGGGUGAGUAACACGUAAACAACCUGCCUUCAGGAUGGGGACAACAGACGGAAACGACUGCUAAUACCGAAUAAGUUCCAAGGGCCGCAUGGCCCAUGGAAGAAAAGGUGGCCUCUACCUGUAAGCUAUCGCCUGAAGAGGGGUUUGCGUCUGAUUAGCUGGUUGGAGGGGUAACGGCCCACCAAGGCGACGAUCAGUAGCCGGUCGGAGAGGAUGAACGGCCACACUGGAAUUGAGACACGGUCCAGACUCCUACGGGAGGCAGCAGUGGGGAAUCUUCCGCAAUGGGCGAAAGCCUGACGGAGCAACGCCGCGUGAGUGAUGACGGCCUUCGGGUUGUAAAACUCUGUGAUCCGGGACGAAAAGGCAGAGUGCGAAGAACAAACUGCAUUGACGGUACCGGAAAAGCAAGCCACGGCUAACUACGUG
rnacentral:rRNA from 1 species